GACGAACGCUGGCGGCGUGCUUAACACAUGCAAGUCGAACGGUAAGGCCCUUCGGGGUACACGAGUGGCGAACGGGUGAGUAACACGUGGGUGAUCUGCCCUGCACUUCGGGAUAAGCCUGGGAAAUUGGGUCUAAUACCGGAUAGGACCCUGGGAUGCAUGUCCUGGGGUGGAAAGCUUUUGCGGUGUGGGAUGGGCCCGCGGCCUAUCAGCUUGUUGGUGGGGUGAUGGCCUACCAAGGCGACGACGGGUAGCCGGCCUGGGAGGGUGACCGGCCACACUGGGACGGAGGUACGGCCCAGACGCCUACGGGAGGCAGCAGUGGGGAAUAUUGCACAAUGGGCGCAAGCCUGAUGCAGCGACGCCGCGUGAGGGAUGGCGGCCUUCGGGUUGUAAACCUCUUUCAGCACCGACGAAGCGCAAGUGACGGUAGGUGCAGAAGAAGGACCGGCCAACUACGUGCCAGCCGCCGCCGUAA
rnacentral:rRNA from 1 species